AAUACGGUGAAACGGCCUAGCAACAGGGAUUUUUCAAAAUUCCGUUUCAAAUAUUAUUUAGAAAACUAACGAAACAUAAUUCUCGUUCCCGUAUAGAAAAUAACAAGAGAAGAUUUUAAUAUUUCUUUAUCUACGAAAAGAUCUUUUGUAACGCAGACUUACAAUGAGCUAAAUGUGUUAAGGAAUUCCAACCCCCGUCUUGCGAGAUAUGGAAUCUGUUAGAAAAGUGGGAUCAUCUUAUCAUUUUAUUAUCCGACCGAUCUACUGUUCGUUCCAAUUUACUUUUGUUUUUAUCUUGGGAAGUCAACGUUCCAACGUUACGAUGUAUUUAUGGCUUAAACGUAAAAGUGGUGCUGUUGAAACGAAACGACCUGUAGAGAUAUCUAUAUAUAUACACGCGGCGCCCACGUUUCAUGCGCGGGCGUCGCGACGGAGGCGUCGUACUACGUAGUUUUGCACUUGCGGUGACCUUGGGAGCACCCACGUAUCAGGGAGAGAAAGAGGGGGUAAGGAUAUUCGUUCAUCGACGUUCCCAUUCCCUUUUGCCCCUCCUUUACCCUAUCAUUGAGAUACGCGACGACGUACAACGCACGUACCUACCACACACACACACACACACACACACAUACAUCUUCUUUCUUUCUUUCUUUUCUCUUUUUACUUUACAAGAUAUUACUGUA